rnacentral:rRNA from 1 species
UGCGUAGGCGGUCCGAUAAGUCUGAUGUGAAAGCCCUGGGCCCAACUCAGGAACUGCAUUGGAAACUGACGGACUGGAGUACCGGAGAGGGAAGCGGAAUUCCUGGUGUAGCGGUGAAAUGCGUAGAUACCAGGAGGAACACCGGUGGCGAAAGCGGUUUCCUGGCCGAGUACUGACGCUGAGGCACGAAAGCGUGGGGAGCGAACGG